rnacentral:rRNA from 1 species
AAAUUUGGCGGUAUUUUAGUCUUUUUAGAGGAACCUGUUCUAUAAUUGAUAUUCCACGUUUAAUUUUACUUAAUUUAUAUUAGUUUGUAUAUCGUCGUAGUUUGAAUAUCUUUUAAAAGUAUAAAUAUUCAUAAUUUAUAAUUUAUAAAUUAAAUCAGAUCAAGAUACAGUUUAUAAUUAAGAAGAGAUGGGUUACAAUAAAAUUAUUUAAAUGGUUAUAUUAAUUAAAAUUUUUAUAUAAAGUGGAUUUGAAAGUAAUUUAUUUUAGUUAAAAUAAAUGAUUUAAGCUCUAAAAUAUGUACAUAUCGCCCGUCACUUUCAUUUAAAUUUAAGAUGAAAUAAGUCGUAACAUAGUAGAUGUACCGGAAGGUGAAUCUAGUUAGUUUACAAGUUAAAGCUUUUGAAAGUAUCUUAUUUACAUUAAGAAGAUAAAUUGUGUAAAUCAAUUUAAUUUGAAUUUAAUAAUUUAUUUUUUAUAUUAUAAAUUUAAAUUAAUUAAAAAAAAUAUUUUUAUAUUUAUUUAUUAUUUAAGAUAAAAUUAUUAUAAUUAUAGUUUAAAGUAAAGUGAUUGAAUAUUGAAAUAAUUUGAGAUAUUUAAAUAUUUUAAAGAAAAAUUUAAUUUUUGUACCUUGUGUAUCAGGGUUUAUUAAAUAGAAAUUAUUUAACUUAAUUUUCUCGAAUUUAAAAGAGUUAAAAAAUUAUAAAUUUUAUUGUGAAAUAAAUAUUUAAAAUAAUUUUUUAGUAAUGAAAUGUUAGUCGUUUUUAAGUAUAUCUAGUUUUUUAAGAAAUAAAUUUAAUUUAGUUAAUUAUUAUAAAUAAGAUAAUUUAAUAUUUUAUAUUAAUAUAAUUAAUUAAUAUUUUAAGGGAUAAGCUUUAAAAUAAAAAAUUUAUAAAUUUAUAAUUAAUUAGUUAAAGUUAAGUAGAAUUAGAAGUUUUUUUCAUUAAUAGUGUGUUAUAACAAAUUUUUGUAUUUAAUUAAAUUUUUAUAUAAUUUUAAAUUUUUUAUUAAAAUUAUUUAUUAAAUAAUAUAAUUUAUAUAAUAAUGAUAGAAUUAGUAUAAUUUUAAUGUAAAUUUAAUUUAUUAUUUAAGGUUAAAUUAAGGAAUUCAGCAAAUAUUUUUUUCGCCUGUUUAUUAAAAACAUGUCUUUUUGAUUAUAAUUUAAAGUCUAACCUGCCCUAUGAUUUAUUUAAAUGGCCGCGGUAUUUUAACCGUGCAAAGGUAGCAUAAUAAUUAGUUUUUUAAUUGAGAACUGGUAUGAAUGGUUGGACGAGAAAAAUUCUGUCUCAAUUUAAUUUAAAUUAGAAUUUUAUUUUUAAGUAAAAAAGCUUAAAUAAAUUUAGAAGACGAGAAGACCCUAUAGAGUUUUAUAUUAAUUAUUUUAUUUAAAAUAUUAAGUAUUUUUAUUUAAUUAGAGUAUAAUUAGUAUUUAAUUAAUCCCAUGAAAAAUUAAA